AUUGAACGCUGGCGGCAGGCUUAACACAUGCAAGUCGAGCGGGGGAAGGUAGCUUGCUACCGGACCUAGCGGCGGACGGGUGAGUAAUGCUUAUGAAUCUGCCUAUUAGUGGGGGACAACAUCUCGAAAGGGAUGCUAAUACCGCAUACGUCCUACGGGAGAAAGCAGGGGAUCUUCGGACCUUGCGCUAAUAGAUGAGCCUAAGUCGGAUUAGCUAGUUGGUGGGGUAAAGGCCUACCAAGGCGACGAUCUGUAGCGGGUCAGAGAGGAUGAUCCGCCACACUGGGACUGAGACACGGCCCAGACUCCUACGGGAGGCAGCAGUGGGGAAUAUUGGACAAUGGGGGGAACCCUGAUCCAGCCAUGCCGCGUGUGUGAAGAAGGCCUUAUGGUUGUAAAGCACUUUAAGCGAGGAGGAGGCUACUUUAGUUAAUACCUAGAGAUAGUGGACGUUACUCGCAGAAUAAGCACCGGCUAACUCUGUGCCAGCCGCCGCGGUAACAC
rnacentral:rRNA from 1 species